AUUGAACGCUGGCGGUAUGCUUAACACAUGCAAGUCGAACGGUAACAGGCCUUCGGGCGCUGACGAGUGGCGGACGGGUGCGUAACGCGUAGGAAUCUGCCUGUUAGUGGGGGACAACGUGGGGAAACUCACGCUAAUACCGCAUACGCCCUACGGGGGAAAGCGGGGGACCUUCGGGCCUCGCCCUAACAGAUGAGCCUGCGUGGGAUUAGCUAGUUGGUAGGGUAAAGGCCUACCAAGGCGACGAUCCCUAGCUGGUCUGAGAGGACGAUCAGCCACACUGGGACUGAGACACGGCCCAGACUCCUACGGGAGGCAGCAGUGGGGAAUAUUGGACAAUGGGCGCAAGCCUGAUCCAGCAAUACCGCGUGUGUGAAGAAGGCCUGAGGGUUGUAAAGCACUUUUAAUCGGGAGGAAUAGCGGUCGGUUAAUACCCGGUCGUCUGACAUUACCGAUAGAAAAAGCACCGGCUAACUCCGUGCCAGCAGCCGCCGCGGUAA
rnacentral:rRNA from 1 species